rnacentral:rRNA from 1 species
AACGCUGGCGGCAUGCCUUACACAUGCAAGUCGAACGGCAGCACGGGAGCAAUCCUGGUGGCGAGUGGCGAACGGGUGAGUAAUAUAUCGGAACGUGCCCAGUCGGUGGGGGAUAACGUAGCGAAAGCUACGCUAAUACCGCAUACGAUCUAUGGAUGAAAGCGGGGGAUCGCAAGACCUCGCGCGAUUGGAGCGGCCGAUAUCAGAUUAGGUAGUUGGUGAGGUAAAGGCUCACCAAGCCGACGAUCUGUAGCUGGUCUGAGAGGACGACCAGCCACACUGGGACUGAGACACGGUCCAGACUCCUACGGGAGGCAGCAGUGGGAAUUUGGACAAUGGGCGCAAGCCUGAUCCAGCAAUGCCGCGUGCAGGAUGAAGGCCUUCGGGUUGUAAACUGCUUUUGUACGGAACGAAACGGUGAGCUCUAAUACAGUUUGCUAAUGACGGUACCGUAAGAAUAAGCAUCGGCUAACUCUGUG